GGCAGGAUGGUGUAGUGGUUUGAAUGCUGGACUAGAACAUCAGGAGACCAGGGUUCAAAUCUCCACUCAGUCA